GCACAGAAACAGAGUAAUAAACCCUAGUUGUUUUCACUCCUUUAAUUUCAAUGUUAAUUCCAAAAAGCUGCAAUUGCUGGUGAUGGCAAUAUGGUUGCUCCGUUGCUCCUCUCGGCUGCUUUCCCCUUUUGUUGUCGGCUGUGGAGGUGGGUAGCACACGAAGUGAACGCAGGGUGUUUGGGCUAUUUGAUCGACGGGAAAGAAAAUGAAGGAGGAAAGGAGUUGCAGAGGUUAGGGCAGCCACCAAUUCCUCUUCCCUUGCUGGUGGUAUCCAAGAACGAGAGAGAGAGAGAGAGAGAGAGAGAGAGAGGUGGGUCCUCUAUUAUUUUUUUAAUUGUUAAAAUAAAUAAAUAAAUAUUAAGUUUAAAAAAAUGAAAGAAAAAUGAAAAAUACAUACCCCAAGGGUAUUAUAGUCAUUUCAAUUUUCGGAGGGACCAUUUUCACAUACAAACCACUCCAAAAGAACUACGAAACCAAAAAAGUCACUGUUUGAACUAAAACCCCAAAAUUUUGCAUACCACAGGACCAUUUUUGCAAUUUUGACUAGAUUAAAUAAUUUCUCCGUUUUAGACGCUUCGUUCUCCUACCCUUCCGUUUAAAUCAAAACCCUAAUAACAUUUCUAACCCUCACGCUCCCACAGUACCCACAAUCUUUUGCCUUCGCGGCUUUGCUGCCGGGUCCUCAACAAUAACCACUACCUAAAAAACCACCACCAUCCAGCUAACUCCGCCGCCAAGCCUGCCACUGUCGAGGCGACCCAUAUUGCUAAUCCCUCUAUCAUGGCCAAUGACGAAGUCAUGGGUGCUAAAACGAAAUUUAAUCCAGCCACUCAAGUAGAAAAAGAGUUUUGGUGAAUGAACGUUUGCAAAUGGUGUUGUAAGUUAUUCUUUACUGGAUUUAGUUCUUUAACGUUCUAAAUGUUGCGGAGCCAGUUUUUAUUUGUCAAAUUAGAAGUCUAAAUAUUAGUGGCUAAAAUGAUUUAAACUUUUAAUGUUUGUUUCAAUCUUUAUGUUAUUGGGUUUUCAUCCUUUUUAAACUUUUGUUGUUUACUGAGUUUUGUCUUAAUUUUAGAUGUAAAUUUGUAUAGGUCCAAAUGGUCCCAUGUUGAAAAUAAGUUGUUAUGUAGAUCAGUUGUUCAAAAAAAUGUUGAUCGGUUGUUUUGAGUGAGGGCAAAUUUGAUGAGAUAUGUGAAGUUGGACGAUUUUGCCCUUGAUGUUUUUUUUUGAAAAAACAGGCAUGAAUCAUGAGAUAAAGUUAUGCUUUUGUUUGAUAAAGAUGUUACGGUUGUUUGUUUUUUUUGGUUUGUAUUUAUUUGUUUUGUUCAAGUUUUGUUGGUAGUUAUUUAAAUCUCAUUGUAAAUUUGAAAAACGAAAUCAAGAAUUGGUAGUUGUUAA